AGCAUGGGACUGUGGUUACUGCUACACGUCUUGACAUGGAGAGAACAGGGUUUGGAAGUGUCCAGUCCUUCUCCAUUAAGGCUUGUGACUGUAACCGGCGGUGUGCAGCAAUUCUAGUAACUGCCUAUAUCCAUGGCAUUAAUGACAACUCACCUUUCUGUGAUCGGUACCUCAUUAGCAUUCUACAAAGUUGGAAGAGUGAUUGCCAUUGAUGAAGACCACCCACCAAACUGUGUGACAUACAAAAUAGCCAAUGGAGACACCCAGGUUAUACAAAGAUUCUGGAUUCAUCCUCUCUCUGGAAUGAUCGAACUUACCACACAGCCAGACUAUGAGUCUGUGAAGCAAUAUAACCUCACCGUGGAAGCUGUGGACUGUGACAGAUUUCACUCUCAUACAGCAAUGACUAUGGU
rnacentral:lncRNA from 1 species